rnacentral:tRNA from 1 species
UGUCCAGGGAUGGGAAUCGAACCCACAGUGUUCCGCUUACCGGGCAGAUGCCAUGUCCACUAGGCUACCCUAGG